UACGGGGGGGGCAAGCGUUGUUCGGAAUUACUGGGCGUAAAGGGCUCGUAGGCGGCCAACUAAGUCAGACGUGAAAUCCCUCGGCUUAACCGGGGAACUGCAUCUGAUACUGGAUGGCUUGAGUUCGCGAGAGGGAUGCGGAAUUCCAGGUGUAGCGGUGAAAUGCGUAGAUAUCUGGAGGAAUACCGGUGGCGAAGGCGGCAUCCUGGACCGGCAUUGACGCUGAGGAGCGAAAGCCAGGGGAGCAAACGGG
rnacentral:rRNA from 1 species